AUAUGGCAGAAAAAUGUAAUAAAUUUAAAAUUUAAAUAUGAAAUUAUUCUUUUAGUA
rnacentral:tRNA from 1 species